AAUGUGCCUUUUGGUUCUUCGUGUUCCAUUACUCUUACUAUUCUUAUAAUAUAAUCUUUUAUAGUUUAAAUGUUAAGGGUUUCUGAAACUGAAUUAUAUGAUCAGGGCACGG